rnacentral:rRNA from 1 species
GCAUCGAUGAAGAACGUAGCGAAAUGCGAUACUUGGUGUGAAUUGCAGAAUCCCGUGAACCAUCCAGUCUUUGAACGCAAGUUGCGCCCGAAGCCAUUAGGCCCAGGGCACGUCUGCUGGGCGUAC